rnacentral:lncRNA from 1 species
AAAAUACACAAGCUCCUAAAAACUUGCAUACUUCCGUUAAAGAGUCACAUGAAUCCAUCAUCCUUCUAAUUGCAUCAACUAUACUUGGAUCAAGCUUUCUCCCAUAAAAUCUACAUAAAUGUCCAAUAAUAGGAACUUCUUGUAUUCCAAAUGUAGAUUUUGUUCCUGAAAGUGUAAGAUGAACCUCUUCAAGUCGAGUUAAAAUCUUUUCACAAUCUUGUAUAUGAUCAACAACAUAUUUUCGACACCCCCUCUCAUCUAAAGUUUCAUCUUUUAUAUUUUGUCUCUAUAAUAACUUUUGGUGCUUGAAAAGAUUCAAGUAUAGAAUAAACUUCCCUCGAAUGAAUUUCCACAAUCUUAUCAUUAUCUCCUAAUCCAAUAGAUGCAAUUAAUUCUAAAGAAUCCUCCAAUCCAUUUUCUUCAUAAAUACCUUAAAUCUUCUCAUCAUCUUCUAAUGUCCCUAACUUGCGUAAUUCCUUUUCAAUACUAUAUAAUCUUUUUCUUUCUUUUCUUUUAAAAUCAUCAA